AAACCAGCACCUCAAGUGGUCAGGAUGAUUAUUGGGCCUAAAGCAUCCGUAGCCUGCUUUGUAAGUUCUCGGUUAAAUCCAUAUGCUCAACAUAUGGGCUGCCGGGAAUACUGCACAGCUAGGGAGUGGGAGAGGUAGACGGUACUCGGUAGGAAGGGGUAAAAUCCUUUGAUCUAUUGAUGACCACCUGUGGCGAAGGCGGUCUACCAGAACACGUCCGACGGUGAGGGAUGAAAGCUGGGGGAGCAAACCGGAUUAGAAACCCUAGUAGUCC
rnacentral:rRNA from 1 species